GACGAACGCUGGCGGCGUGCCUAAUACAUGCAAGUAGAACGCUGAAGCGAGGAGCUUGUUCUUUUUGGAUGAGUUGCGAACGGGUGAGUAACGCGUAGGUAACCUGCUUUGUAGUGGGGGAUAACUAUGGGAAACGAUAGCUAAUACUGCAUAACACUGGAUGACACAGGUCAUUUAUGUGAAAGGGGCAAUUGGUGCACUACAAGAUGGAUCUGCGUUGUAUUAGCUAGUAGGUGAGGUAAAGGCUCACCUAGGCGACGAUACCUAGCCGACCUGAGAGGGUGAGCGGCCACACUGGGAAUGUGACACGCCCCAGAGUCCUACAGGAGGGGGCAGUAGGGAAACUUCGGCAAUGGGGGCGAAACUGAGCGCGAGACGCCGCGGGAGGGUAGAGGAGUCUCGGGUCGUGAAGCUCGGUUGUAAGGGGAGAAAGGGGGUGCGGGUGGAAAGUUCACAGUGUGACGGUAACUUACAAGAAAGGGACGGCUAACUACGUG
rnacentral:rRNA from 1 species